rnacentral:rRNA from 1 species
CAGUCGAGGGGCAGCGGGGGAGUAGCAAUACUCCCGCCGGCGACCGGCGCACGGGUGAGUAACACGUAUGAAACCUGCCCGUAGCAGGGGGAUAAGCGGAAGAAAUUCCGUCUAAUACCGCGUAACAACCCAUGGAGGCAUCUCCGUGGGUUUAAAGGAAGCGAUUCCGGCUACGGAUGGUCAUGCGUCGCAUUAGCUUGUUGGCGGGGUAACGGCCCACCAAGGCGACGAUGCGUAGGGGUUCUGAGAGGAAGGUCCCCCACACUGGUACUGAGACACGGACCAGACUCCUACGGGAGGCAGCAGUGAGGAAUAUUGGUCAAUGGCCGCAGGGCUGAACCAGCCAAGUCGCGUGAGGGAUGACGGUCCUAUGGAUUGUAAACCUCUUUUGUCAGGGAGCAAAGGGCGCCACGUGUGGCGUUUUGCGAGUACCUGAAGAAAAAGCAUCGGCUAACUCCGUGCCAGCAGCCGCGGUAAUACGGAGGAUGCGAGCGUUAUCCGGAUUUAUUGGGUUUAAAGGGUGCGCAGGCGGAAUGUCAAGUCAGCGGUAAAAUUUCGGGGCUCAACCCCGUCGUGCCGUUGAAACUGGCGUUCUUGAGUGAGCGAGAAGUAUGCGGAAUGCGUGGUGUAGCGGUGAAAUGCAUAGAUAUCACGCAGAACUCCGAUUGCGAAGGCAGCAUACCGGCGCUCAACUGACGCUCAUGCACGAAAGCGUGGGUAUCGAACAGGAUUAGAUACCCUGGUAGUCCACGCAGUAAACGAUGAAUACUAACUGUCCGGGCAGAAUGAUGCCUGGGUGGUACAGCGAAAGCGUUAAGUAUUCC